CGCAGCCGCGGUAAUUCCAGCUCCAAUAGCGUAUAUUAAAGUUGCUGCAGUUAAAAAGCUCGUAGUUGAAUUUCGGGAUCAAUAUGUUGGUCGUGCCUUGGUACGUACUAGCUUAUUGGUUUCUCCCUUCUGACGAACCAUGAUGUCAUUAAUUUGGUGUCAUGUGGAAUCAGGACUGUUACUUUGAAAAAAUUAGAGUGUUUAAAGCAGGCUCACGCUUGAAUACAUUAGCAUGGAAUAAUGAAAUAGGACGUUUGAUUCUAUUUUGUUGGUUUCUAGGAUCGACGUAAUGAUUAAUAGGGAUAGUUGGGGGCAUUAGUAUUCAAUUGUCAGAGGUGAAAUUCUUGGAUUUAUUGAAGACUAACUACUGCGAAAGCAUUUGCCAAGGAUGUUUUCAUUAAUCAAGAACGAAAGUUAGGGGAUCGAAGACGAUCAGAUACCGUCGUAGUC
rnacentral:rRNA from 1 species